rnacentral:rRNA from 1 species
UACAGAGGGGGCAAGCGUUGUUCGGAAUUACUGGGCGUAAAGGGCGCGUAGGCGGCCUGUUAAGUCGAACGUGAAAUCCCCGGGCUCAACCCGGGAACUGCGUCCGAUACUGGCAGGCUUGAAUCCGGGAGAGGGGUGCAGAAUUCCAGGUGUAGCGGUGAAAUGCGUAGAUAUCUGGAGGAAUACCGGUGGCGAAGGCGGCAUCCUGGGACCGGCAUUGACGCUGAGGAGCGAAAGCCAGGGGAGCAAAGCGGG